rnacentral:rRNA from 1 species
GAUGAACGCUGGCGGCGUGCCUAAUACAUGCAAGUCGAGCGAACGGACGAUAAGCUUGCUUCUCUGAUGUUGCGGCGGACGGGUGAGUAACACGUGGAUAACCUACCUAUAAGACUGUGAUAACUUCGGGAAACCGGAGCUAAUACCUGAUAAUAUUUUGAACCGCAUGGUUCAAAAGUGAAAGACGGUCUUGCUGUCACUUAUAGAUGGAUCCGCGCUGCAUUAGCUAGUUGGUAAGGUAACGGCUUACCAAGGCAACGAUGCAUAGCCGACCUGAGAGGAUGAUCAGCCACACUGGAACUGAGACACGGUCCAGACUCCUACGGGAGGCAGCAGUAGGGAAUAUUCCGCAAUGGGCGAAAGCCUGACGGAGCAACGCCGCGUGAGUGAUGAAGGUCUUCGGAUCGUAAAACUCUGUUAUUAGGGAAGAAAAUAUGUGUAAGUAACUGUGCACAUCUUGACGGUACCUAAUCAGAAAGCCACGGCUAACUACGUG